UUCAGAUUGGCCGAGUGGUUAAGGCGCUAGAUUUAAGAUCUUGUAGGAGGGAGCGUGGGUUCGAAUCACACAUCUGAAA